rnacentral:lncRNA from 1 species
AAUUUGUAAAAAAAAUAUAAUGUUGAUAAUGGAAAGAAAAGAAAGAAAAAUAGAACACAUAGAUUUUACGUGGAAACCUUUUUAGGAAAAAACCACGGGCAGAGGAGAAGAAAAUUCACUAUAUCGAAUUGGAAUGAUACAAGGGGAGAGACGACUAUGUUUAUAUAUAGGUUUGUAAAACCAUAUUCUAAUCAAAUUCAAAUAGAAGCAAUGUAGUAAGGUUAAAACACCUUAUUCUAAUCAACAUCAAAUAGAGGAAGCAUACUUUUAUACAGAUUUCACUCGUAGAUCCCCCUAUCUUACCACUUGUAUUUUUAUUUAAUAAGAAUUUGGGUCACAUAUCUUUAACAAAAUCUUUUUGAACAGGUGUUCCAGUACAUGUACUUUUUGUAGGAAUUGAAUGAGGAGAGGCUUCUCAGGUUAUUUGAGUUUGCC